GACGAACGCUGGCGGCGUGCUUAACACAUGCAAGUCGAACGGAAAGGCCCUGCUUUUGUUGGGUGCUCGAGUGGCGAACGGGUGAGUAACACGUGAGUAACCUGCCCUUGACUUUGGGAUAACUUCAGGAAACUGGGGCUAAUACCGGAUAGGAGCUCCUGCUGCAUGGUGGGGGUUGGAAAGUUUCGGCGGUUGGGGAUGGACUCGCGGCUUAUCAGCUUGUUGGUGGGGUAGUGGCUUACCAAGGCUUUGACGGGUAGCCGGCCUGAGAGGGUGACCGGCCACAUUGGGACUGAGAUACGGCCCAGACGCCUACGGGAGGCAGCAGUGGAGAAUAUUGCACAAUGGGCGGAAGCCUGAUGCAGCAACGCCGCGUGCGGGAUGACGGCCUUCGGGUUGUAAACCGCUUUCGCCUGUGACGAAGCGUGAGUGACGGUAAUGGGUAAAGAAGCACCGGCUAACUACGUG
rnacentral:rRNA from 1 species